rnacentral:rRNA from 1 species
UACGGAGGAUGCGAGCGUUAUCCGGAUUUAUUGGGUUUAAAGGGUGCGUAGGCGGACGCUUAAGUCAGCGGUCAAAGCCCGGGGCUCAACCCCGGCGAGCCGUUGAAACUGGCGGGCUGGAGUUGGAGAGAAGUACGCGGAAUGCGCGGUGUAGCGGUGAAAUGCUUAGAUAUCGCGCAGAACCCCGAUAGCGAAGGCAGCUUACCAGACUGAGUCUGACGCUGAUGCACGAGAGCAUGGGUAGCGAACAGG